AUUGAACGCUGGCGGCAUGCCUUACACAUGCAAGUCGAACGGCAGCACGGGAGCAAUCCUGGUGGCGAGUGGCGAACGGGUGAGUAAAGUAUCGGAACGUGCCCAGUCGUGGGGGAUAACGUAGCGAAAGUUACGCUAAUACCGCAUACGAUCUAUGGAUGAAAGCGGGGGAUCGCAAGACCUCGCGCGAUUGGAGCGGCCGAUAUCAGAUUAGGUAGUUGGUGGGGUAAAGGCCCACCAAGCCGACGAUCUGUAGCUGGUCUGGGAGGACGACCAGCUACACUGGGACUGAGACACGGCCCAGACUCCUACGGGAGGCAGCAGUGGGGAAGUUUGGACAAUGGGCGAAAGCCUGAUCCAGCCAUGCCGCGUGCAGGAUGAAGGCCUUCGGGUUGUAAACUGCUUUUGUACGGAACGAAAAGGACUGCCCUAAUACGGUGGUCCCAUGACGGUACCGUAAGAAUAAGCACCGGCUAACUACGUGCCAGCCGCCGCCGUAA
rnacentral:rRNA from 1 species